AUUUCACGUAUGAAGCCCAAAUGACCAUUUUACCUGGACUUGACCUUAUGGUCAUCCUCUUGAGCCAAGACCCAUUAGAAUAACCCUCUUUGCCAUUACCAAGGUAAAGCGAAGUGCCAAACCUGCAUGCAAUUUAUCAAUCAUCUUAUUUUUCAUACAUCAUGCUCAAUAUUUCCAUAAAUAAACAAGGAUCAAUCACCAUAGAGAUUUAUACGUCAAAUCAUCAUGUUCAAUAAUACCAUGACUUACAUUUACAUAAACAAACAUUAAUCUUGU
rnacentral:lncRNA from 1 species